GCUGGGAUAGCUCAGUGGGUAGAGCAUGAGGCUCUUAAUCUCAGGGUUGUGGGUUCGAGUCCCACAUUGGGCA
rnacentral:tRNA from 1 species